UUGUCUGGUUUACAAAACAGCUUCAUUUAUUAACAGAAGGGCAUAGGGCUGAGAAUGGGCCCUCUGGGAGAAGGUGAUUUGAAAGACAUAGGUCCUGAAGACCCCAGCCAAGAAACCUAAGGUGUCAGACCAGACACUUGUCAAAGCAGGAAAUGAGACUUGUGUCAGGAGUGAGAGGGAGGCUGGGGUAUCAAUGAGUACAUCUUGUCCUAGAUGGGGGAGUUCUGUAGUAGCCCAGGGGCAGAGAGCUGACUCACCAGACAACAGACACAGUAGCAGUGACCAGCUACAUGACUGCUCUCAGAGAAGAGUUGGUAUUGGACUAUGCUUCUAAAUUAUGUACCACACUGCUGCAUUGAUUCAGCCCUGAAAAGAGAAGACAUCUAAAAAAAACGCCCUUAUCUACUCCCACUCUUAGGCCUUUGUUUGAAGAAUGUAUUGAGAUAUUGAGGGAAGCUGGCCUAUGAAGUGGAGAAGGAGGCAGAACUGGCCCUACAUGUGCACACACGAACUCUGCCUUCUACUGAGAUUGCAAGGUGCCAUGGAAGUAUCCUGGGUCUUUGUAUGCAGCCUGGAAAGG